GGAGGCAGGUAGCCUAGUGGUGAGAGGAGGCAGGUAGCCUAGUGGUUAGAGGAGGCAGGUAGCCUAGUGGUUAGAGGAGGCAGGUAGCCUAGUGGUUAGAGGAGGCAGGUAGCCUAGUGGUUAGAGGAGGCAGGUAGCCUAGUGGUUAGAGGAGGCAGGUAACCUAGUGGUUAGAGGAGGCAGGUAGCCUAGUGGUUAGAGGAGGCAGGUAACCUAGUGGUUAGAGGAGGCAGGUAGCCUAGUGGUUAGAGGAGGCAGGUAGCCUAGUGGUUAGAGGAGGCAGGUAGCCUAGUGGUUAGAGGAGGCAGGUAACCUAGUGGUUAGAGGAGGCAGGUAACCUAGUGGUUAGAGGAGGCAGGUAACCUAGUGGUUAGAGGAGGCAGGUAGCCUAGUGGUUAGAGGAGGCAGGUAGCCUAGUGGUUAGAGGAGGCAGGUAGCCUAGUGGUUAGAGGAGGCAGGUAGCCUAGUGGUUAGAGGAGGCAGGUAGCCUAGUGGUUAGAGGAGGCAGGUAGCCUAGUGGUUAGAGGAGGCAGGUAGCCUAGUGGUUAGAGGAGGCAGGUAGCCUAGUGGUUAGAGGAGGCAGGUAACCUAGUGGUUAGAGGAGGCAGGUAGCCUAGUGGUUAGAGGAGGCAGGUGGCCUAGUGGUUAGAGGAGGCAGGUGGCCUAGUGGUUAGAGGAGGCAGGUAGCCUAGUGGUUAGAGGAGGCAGGUAGCCUAGUGGUUAGAGGAGGCAGGUAGCCUAGUGGUUAGAGGAGGCAGGUGGCCUAGUGGUUAGAGGAGGCAGGUAGCCUAGUGGUUAGAGGAGGCAGGUAGCCUAGUGGUUAGAGGAGGCAGGUAGCCUAGUGGUUAGAGGAGGCAGGUGGCCUAGUGGUUAGAGGAGGCAGGUAGCCUAGUGGUUAGAGGAGGCAGGUAGCCUAGUGGUUAGAGGAGACAGGUAGCCUAGUGGUUAGAGGAGGCAGGUAGCCUAGUGGUUAGAGGAGGCAGGUAGCCUAGUGGUUAGAGGAGGCAGGUAGCCUAGUGGUUAGAGGAGACAGGUAGCCUAGUGGUUAGAGGAGGCAGGUAGCCUAGUGGUUAGAGGAGGCAGGUAGCCUAGUGGUUAGAGGAGGCAGGUAGCCUAGUGGUUAGAGGAGGGAGGUAGUCUAGUGGUUAGAGGAGGCAGGUAGCCUAGUGGUUAGAGGAGGCAGGUAGUCUAGUGGUUAGAGGAGGCAGGUAGCCUAGUGGUUAGAGGAGGCAGGUAGCCUAGUGGUUAGAGGAGGCAGGUAGCCUAGUGGUUAGAGGAGGCAGGUAGUCUAGUGGUUAGAGGAGGCAGGUAGCCUGGUGGUUAGAGGAGGCAGGUAGCCUAGUGGUUAGAGGAGGCAGGUAGCCUAGUGGUUAGAGGAGGCAGGUAGCCUAGUGGUUAGAGGAGACAGGUAGCCUAGUGGUUAGAGGAGACAGGUAGCCUAGUGGUUAGAGGAGGCAGGUAGCCUAGUGGUUAGAGGAGGCAGGUAGCCUAGUGGUUAGAGGAGGCAGGUAGCCUAGUGGUUAGAGGAGGCAGGUAGCCUAGUGGUUAGAGGAGGCAGGUAGCCUAGUGGUUAGAGGAGACAGGUAGCCUAGUGGUUAGAGGAGGCAGGUAGCCUAGUGGUUAGAGGAGGCAGGUAGCCUAGUGGUUAGAGGAGACAGGUAGCCUAGUGGUUAGAGGAGACAGGUAGCCUAGUGGUUAGAGGAGGCAGGUAGCCUAGUGGUUAGAGGAGACAGGUAGCCUAGUGGUUAGAGGAGGCAGGUAGCCUAGUGGUUAGAGGAGGCAGGUAGCCUAGUGGUUAGAGGAGGCAGGUAGCCUAGUGGUUAGAGGAGGCAGGUAGCCUAGUGGUUAGAGGAGGCAGGUAGCCUAGUGGUUAGAGGAGGCAGGUAGCCUAGUGGUUAGAGGAGGCAGGUAGCCUAGUGGUUAGAGGAGACAGGUAGCCUAGUGGUUAGAGGAGGCAGGUAGCCUAGUGGUUAGAGGAGGCAGGUAGCCUAGUGGUUAGAGGAGGCAGGUAGCCUAGUGGUUAGAGGAGGCAGGUAGCCUAGUGGUUAGAGGAGGGAGGUAGUCUAGUGGUUAGAGGAGACAGGUAGCCUAGUGGUUAGAGGAGGCUGGUAGCCUAGUG